UACGUAGGGUGCGAGCGUUGCCCGGAUUUAUUGGGCGUAAAGGGCGCGUAGGCGGUCACGCACGUCCGUUGUGAAAUCGCUCGGCUCAACUGGGCGGGGUCAGCGGAUACGGCGUGGCUGGAGCAAGCUAGGGGGCAAUGGAAUUCCCGGUGUAGUGGUGGAAUGCGCAGAUAUCAGGAGGAACACCGGUGGCGAAGGCGGGUCUCUGGGCAGUAACUGACGCUGAGGAGCGAAAGCGUGGGGAGCGAACAGG
rnacentral:rRNA from 1 species